CACGGGGGGAGCAAGCGUUGUUCGGAAUCACUGGGCGUAAAGGGCGUGUAGGCGGUCAAGUAAGUGGAAUGUGAAAGCCCCCGGUUUACCCGGGGAUCUGCAUCCCAAACUGCUUGGCUUGAGUACGGGAGAGGAUAGGGGAAUUCCUGGUGUAGCGGUGAAAUGCGUAGAUAUCAGGAGGAACACCGGUGGCGAAGGCGCCUAUCUGGCCCGAUACUGACGCUGAGGCGCGAAAGCUAGGGGAGCGAACGGG
rnacentral:rRNA from 1 species